AUGGAAGGGAAAGCUAUUCUUCUUUGCCUUAUGGUGCUUGUGCACCUAGGAAAUUCCAUUCAUAUUGAUAAAAGCAAGGAUCUAGUUCACCCGCAAAGAAAAACAUGCAAGGAUCUAGCUGCUGCUUACGGCCGUGAGUGCGUUUUGUCAAAAUGCCAGCUGGCCUGCAGGGAUUUGUUUGGAGCGGAAUUCAAAGUAUCAUGGUGUAGCAACGUCGUCCCAUACUAUUGGCAUUGUAUGUGCCGUGUCUGUUUUAGAAUUGCACUGAACCAUCAUGUCGAAAAAUGGACAAAUGAUGUGAUCCAAUAA
rnacentral:rRNA from 1 species